rnacentral:rRNA from 1 species
GACGAACGCUGGCGGCGUGCUUAACACAUGCAAGUCGAACGGAAAGGCCCUGCUUGCAGGGUACUCGAGUGGCGAACGGGUGAGUAACACGUGGGUGUUCUGCCCUGCACUUCGGGUUAAGCCUUGGAAACUGGUUCUAAUACCGGAUAGGAGCCAUUUUUAGUUUGAUGGUUGGAAAGUUUUUUCGGUGUAGGAUGAGCUCGCGGCCUAUCUGCUUGUUGGUGGGGUAAUGGGCUACCAAGGCGGCGACGGGUAGCCGGCCUGAGAGGGUGGACGGCCACAAUGGGACUGAGAUACGGCACAGAAUCCUACGGGAGGCAGCAGUGGGGAAUAUUGCACAAGGGGCGCAAGCCUGAUGCAGAGACGCCGCGUGGGGGAUGACGGCCUUCGGGUUGAAAAAUACUUUCGCUAGGGACGAAGCUUUUUGUGACGGUACCUAGAUAAGAAGCACCGGCUAACUACGUG